UACGUAGGGGGCAAGCGUUGUCCGGAAUCAUUGGGCGUAAAGCGCACGUAGGCGGUCAUGUAAGUCAGGAGUGAAAGCCCUCGGCUUAACCGGGGAAGUGCUUUUGAAACUGCAUGACUUGAAUACUGGAGAGGAUCGCGGAAUUCCCGGUGUAGAGGUGAAAUUCGUAGAUAUCGGGAGGAACACCAGUGGCGAAGGCGGCGAUCUGGACAGAUAUUGACGCUGAGGUGCGAAAGCGUGGGGAGCAAACAGG
rnacentral:rRNA from 1 species